ACACUGGGAUUGAGACACGGCCCAGACUCCUACGGGAGGCAGCAGUGGGGAAUCUUAGACAAUGGGGGGCAACCUGAUCUAGCCAUGCCGCGUGAGUGAUGAAGGCCUUAGGGUCGUAAAGCUCUUUCGCCUGUGAUGAUAAUGACAGUAGCAGGUAAAGAAACCCCGGCUAACUCCGUGCCAGCAGCCGCGGUAAUACGGAGGGGGUUAGCGUUGUUCGGAAUUACUGGGCGUAAAGCGCGCGUAGGCGGACUAGAAAGUUGGGGGUGAAAUCCCGGGGCUCAACCUCGGAACUGCCUCCAAAACUGCUAGUCUAGAGUUCGAGAGAGGUGAGUGGAAUUCCGAGUGUAGAGGUGAAAUUCGUAGAUAUUCGGAGGAACACCAGUGGCGAAGGCGGCUCACUGGCUCGAUACUGACGCUGAGGUGCGAAAGUGUGGGGAGCAAACAGGAUUAGAUACCCUGGUAGUCCACACCGUAAACGAUGAAUGCCAGUCGUCGGGUAGUAUACUAUUCGGUGACACACCUAACGGAUUAAGCAUUCCGCCUGGGGAGUACGGUCGCAAGAUUAAAACUCAAAGGAAUUGACGGGGGCCCGCACAAGCGGUGGAGCAUGUGGUUUAAUUCGAAGC
rnacentral:rRNA from 1 species